GGGGCUAUAGCUCAGUUGGUAGAGUGCUUGCCUUGCAUGCACAAGGCCUUGGGUUCAAUCCCCAGCACCA
rnacentral:tRNA from 1 species